AAGGUUCCAAGGAUCACAACUCCUUCAAUUCUCAACAUUCUUGAAUGCCUCUUUUAGCAUAUGACUCUUAUCAACAUACCCUAUAACUUAUCUUUACAUGACAAGAGCCAAUUAUGCUUGGAGGAUCAUCAAAGGUUUGGAGACAUUAUAGGUCAUUUGUGGACUUAGUGAAAUUUGACCUAUUUUCAAAUGACUUUUCC
rnacentral:lncRNA from 1 species